GUCUGUCUGUGCUCUGUGACAGGCACACAGCACACCCCCCCCACAACCCACUCCAGGACCUCAGGCGGGAUUCUGACUCCCAGGAUGGCCCUGGGCGCUUAGAGCUGGCAUUGAGACAAUUGAUGUCUGAGCGGCUGUGUUAGGAGGAUAGCUACGUAUGAAAGACUGAUGUCCGGAGAGGAGAGCCGUGCUGGAGAUGGACACUUGAAACCCUUGAAAAUGGAAGACGUCACCGAUCCUCUAAAGAGAGGGUGGAGAAAGGAAAGAAGAGAACCUGGCUCCAGACCUGAAGAGCCUCAGCCUAACAUUAGAGAAAAAGCCCAACUUGGAAAAAGCCUGGGAGAUACCCCAGGAUCCUUCUAGCAAAUCCCCCUCUCUGCUUGCCCACCCCACUCGCUUCAAGGACAAGGAGUGGAAGAAACAAGGAAAAUGGGCUCCAACAACUGGAUGGUGCUGUCCACACUGAGGGCGAAUCUCCCCCACUAGUCCACUCAGACUCACACUAAUCUCCUCUGGAAACACCUCACAGACACACCCCAAAAUAACGCUUUAUCAAGUUUCUAGGUAUUUCUUAAUCCAGUCAAGUUGACACCUAAAAUGAACCAUCACAAAAACUUUCCGUUAAAUUCAUUCCUAAAUAUUGUGUUUUUUAUUGCUACUCUAAGUGGUAUUUUAAAUUUUAAUUUUCCAGUUGUUUCUUGCUAAUGUAUAGGAAAGCAAUGGAUCUGGUAAUUGAUUGUAUACCCUUUGGCCUUGCUGUAUUCACUUACUAAUUCUAGUGCUUUUUUGUAGCUUCUUUGGGAUUUUCUGCAUCUAUAUUUAUAAUCAUAUUGUUUAUGAAUCUACACACUUUUUCCUCUUCAAUCUGUGUGUCAUUUGUUUCUUCUUCUUGCCUUAUUGCAUUGGCUGGGACCUGUGAUACAGUUUUAUAGAGAGCACUUGCUGUACCCACAUGGCAGAGUACAUAGAAGGGUGACACCAGGAGGUAAGUUCAGAGGUCCCAAAAACUAAGCAUAGUACAGUCAUCCCCUCUUAUCUGUGGGGAAUAUGUUUCAAGACACCUACUUGGUGCCUGAAGCUGCAGGCAGACAGAUAGAUAGAUGGAUAGAUGAUUGAUAGAUAGAUAGAUAGAUAGAUAGAUAGAUAGAUAAAGAGGGGAUUUAUUAGGGGAAUUGGUUCACAUGAUUGUGGGGCCUGAGAAGUCCCACACAGGCCAUCUGCAAGCUAGAGACCCUAGGGCACUGGUGGUGUGGCUCAGUAUAAGUCCAAAAGCCCCAAACCAGGGAAGCCAAUGGUAGAACUCUCUCUCCAAGGUCAAAGGCCUUGGGAACCCAGAGGCAGGGGGAGAAACCCAGGUUGUACAGAACACUAUAUGUACCACGUCUCUUUUAUCUGACUACCAAGAGGGCUACUAAGUGACUAACAGCGGGUAGCGUAGACAGCGUGAAUAUGCUGAACAAAGGGACAAUUCACAUCCUGUGCAGGACAGAGCAGGACGGUGCAAGAUUUCAUUGUGCUCCUCAGAGGGUGUACAAUUUAAAACAUGUGAAUGGUUUAUUUCUGGACUCUUCCAGUUUAUAAUUUUAAAAUGCAAUUGACUGUGGGUAAUUGAAAUCACAGACAGUGAAACUGAGGAUGGUGGAGGCUACUGUACAUAAUUUUCAGGUCCUGCUGACUUCUCUAGUUUCAUUAAAGAGCAAACUCUGGCAGGAUAUGUCAUAUUUGUAUAAUACUUGAGAGCUGGGCUGGCUACGUAAUUUGCAGGGUGCACUGAAAAAUGAAAAUGAGACUGCUUAUUCAUGAAACAUGAAAAACGUUCUUUCCUUUUUUCCAAAGUCUGUCUCUGUCUGUGCUCCUCCCUCCAUGACCCUCCCCUGCCCUCUAAAUCUGUCACAGUGAUUUUUACGUGCUGUUUACUGCCGUGCUCCCUUGAGCAUGGGAAUACCUGCAAGACAAGGAGGGGCCUUCACAGGCAGAGGUGUCAGGGUCAGAACCGUGGAGUGGCCUCGGGUGAGUCAAGGCUGCAAGCCCCAUUACUCCAUUGCCCCACAGGGCUUCUCUUUCAAAGCACACAUUCAAUAAUAAGAUUGUUAAAAUAUCAAGAUAACAACUGCAGAGCACUCAAAAUGCAAACACCGUCCUCCCGAGCAUGGAACCCUCUUAAGAACAAGUCCUCCUGAGCAUUGAGUCCUCCUGAGCACCGAGCCCUCCAGAGCAGAGAGUCCUCCUGAGCACCGAGCCCUCCUGAGCAGAGAGUCCUCCCGAGCAGAGUCCUCCUGAGCACUGAGCCGCCCUCCUGAGCACACAGUCCUCCUGAGAACAGAGCCCUCCUGAACAUCGAGCCCUCCUGAGCACCAAGCCCUCCUGAGCAGAGUCCUUCUGAGCACCGAGCCAUCCUGAGCACCGAGUCCUCCUGAGCAUGGGGUCCUCCUGAGCAUGGGGUCCUCCUGAGCAUGGGGUCCUCCUGAGCACUGAGUCCUCCUGAGCACUGAGCCAUCCUGAGCACCAAGUCAUCCUGAGCACCGAGUCCUCCUGAGCAUGGGGUCCUCCUGGGGGUCUCCUGAGUGGCUACCAAUCAUACACCUGCCUCGCACACACCAGUGCCAAGGGCCUGCGUGCUUGGUGCCCUGACAGGUGUCUGGGGCCCGCCUGCUAUCUCGCACUCACAGCCUCACAUUCACUUACGAUGGGCCAGGCGUUUAACAGGUGAAACUGCGGCUCUGAGAGCUCAGAGAGCUUCUUUCACAGUAGCAGCUGCUCCCACAAGGAGUGGAGUCUUCCCUCUGUAAGAGGGCAGCAGAGAUUGUAAAUUCUCUCUAACAAUGGUGCGGUGGUGAGCAGUCUUUGCUUUAGUAAUGGACACAUGUAUUCUGUAUUCACUUUCAUGGUCAGGUGUUUUCUUAAGCUAAUCUUAAUCUGAUUAAGAAUGGUAAGGUGUGGCCAGGGGCAGUGGCUCACACCUGUAAUUCCAGCACUUUGGGAGACCGAGGUGGGUGGAUCAUGAGGUCAGGAGAUUGAGACCAUCCUGGCUAACACAGUGAAACCCCGUC